rnacentral:rRNA from 1 species
UACGUAGGGGGCAAGCGUUGUCCGGAUUUAUUUGGCGUAAAGAGCGUGUAGGCGGCCUGAAAGGUCAGCUGUGAAAACUCGAGGCUCAACCUCGAGACGUCGGUUGAAACCAUCUGGCUAGAGUCCGGAAGAGGAGUGUGGAAUUCCCGGUGUAGCGGUGAAAUGCGCAGAUAUCGGGAAGAACACCCGUGGCGAAGGCGGCACUCUGGGACGGUACUGACGCUGAGACGCGAAAGCGUGGGGAGCGAACAGG